rnacentral:rRNA from 1 species
UGGGUCUCGCUCGUUACCUGACUUAACAGGACACCUCACGGCACGAGCUGGCGACGGCCAUGCACCUCCUCUCAGCUUGUCUGGUAAAGUCUUCAGCUUGACCUUCACUCUGCUGUCGCCCCCGGUAAGAUUUCCGGCGUUGACUCCAAUUGAACCGCAGGCUUCACCCCUUGUGGUGCUCCCCCGCCAAUUCCUUUAAGUUUCAGUCUUGCGACCGUACUCCCCAGGCGGCAAACUUAACGGCUUCCCUGCGGCACUGAGUUAGCAAUAAGCCAACUCAUCACCGAGUCUGCAUCGUUUACAGCUGGGACUACCCGGGUAUCUAAUCCGGUUUGCUCCCCCAGCUUUCAUCCCUCACCGUCGAGCGCGUUCUGGCAAGCCGCCUUCGCCACUGGUGGUCUUCAAUGGAUCAACGGAUUUUACCCCUACCCAUCGAGUACCGCUUGCCUCUCCCGCCUCCUAGCUCUAUAGUAUCUUCCGCAGCCCAUCUGUUAAGCAGGUGGAUUUAACGGAAGACUUGUAGAACCGGCUACGGAUGCUUUAGGCCCAAUAAACGUCCCGACCACUCGGGGUGCUGGUAUUACCGCGGCGGCUGACACCAGACUUGCCCACCCCUUAUUCUGCACCAUUUUUAGAGGUGCCAAAAGAUCUCCUUAACGGAAAUCACUCAGAGUAACCCUGUCAAGCUUUCGCCUAUUGCAGAGGUUUCGCGCCUGCUGCGCCCCAUAGGGCCUGGGCCCUUGUCUCAGUGCCCAUCUCCGGGCUCCUCCUCUCAGAGCCCGUACCGGUUACAGGUUUGGUGGGCCAUUACCUCACCAACAGCCUGAUCGGCCGCAGUCCAAUCCAGGGGCCAUAUAGAUUUAAGUCAUUACCCAUUCCAGAAGUGAUGACCUAUCGCGGUUUAUCCUCAGUUUCCCGAGGUUAUCCACGUCCCCUGGGCAUGUUGACUACGUGUUACUGAGCCGUAUGCCACAUAUUGCUAUGUUGACUCGCAUGGCUUAGUCCCACUCUGAUAGCAGUCGGGUCCGGCAGGAUCAACCGGA